rnacentral:rRNA from 1 species
UACGUAGGGUGCGAGCGUUAAUCGGAAUUACUGGGCGUAAAGCGUGCGCAGGCGGUCUUGCAAGACAGGUGUGAAAUCCCCGGGCUUAACCUGGGAACUGCACUUGUGACUGCAAGGCUGGAGUACGGCAGAGGGGGAUGGAAUUCCACGUGUAGCAGUGAAAUGCGUAGAUAUGUGGAGGAAUACCGAUGGCGAAGGCAGCCCCCUGGGUCGAUACUGACGCUCAUGCACGAAAGCGUGGGGAGCAAACAGG